rnacentral:rRNA from 1 species
AACCUGCACAAAGCAGAAAGACCCGCGAACUCGUUCUACAAACACCCGGGGGGCAGCGCUCGCCGCUUCCCCUUAAAACAACGAACCCCGGCGCGGAUUGCGCCAAGGACUAUGAACAGAAGCGCGUCGCACGCCACGGGGGUCUCCCGGUGUGCGGGUGGCGACGUGUUGUUUCGAUUCUAAUAGGACGACUCUCGGCAACGGAUAUCUCGGCUCUCGCAUCGAUGAAGAACGUAGCGAAAUGCGAUACUUGGUGUGAAUUGCAGAAUCCCGUGAACCAUCGAGUCUUUGAACGCAAGUUGCGCCCGAAGCCUUCGGGCCAAGGGCACGUCUGCCUGGGCGUCACGCACCGCGUCGCCCCCCAACCCUUCCAAGGGGCGGUGGGCGGAGAUUGGCCCCCCGUGCGCUCCAAGCUCGUGGUCGGCCUAAAUACUGAACCCGUGGCCGCGAAAUGCCGCGACGAUUGGUGGUGUACUACUCGGCCCUGUGCUGUCAGGCAUCGCGUCGCGACUUUCGCACCCCUCGGGUGUCAAAGGACCUUGGAGAGGAGCCCUU